rnacentral:lncRNA from 1 species
CUGGGGCUAUAUAUAAGCCAAAAAGAUAACAGAAGAUUACAGAAUCUGAGGUAAUAAAAACAGACAACCGCCCAAGCGCCUAAGUAAAUCGCUCAACGGUUUCCCCUUUAGCCGUUGGACCGCUCAGUGGUCAGUUUUACCGCUGAGCGGUUUCCCUCUAGUCGCUUUGGAUGCUCAGUGGUCCAUUCUGACGCUCAACGGUUCUUUUGAGCCUUCUUUUCAUCCUUUUUCUUCCUCUUUCACGGGUCUAUGUCCACCUUUCUUCACUUCCAUCUUCAAUUCACCUUAAAACCCUGCAAAACAAUGUAAAAACAAGCAUAAUAUCUCUAAAACCAACUUUUUGACUCUCACAUGACUCAACUAAGAGUUUUACUUGAUUUUAAGCUCAUUCUAAGCCACAAAGGGUGUGUUUUGAUAUUAAAUUUAAGUAUGAAAAUAACGGUUUUUAGACCGUUAUCAGCCUGCAUCUCUUGCCACAUUGCAGAGCAUAUGAGGAAUGAAUCUUUACUGAAAUGCUUCAUCAAGUUAAGAACGCUUGGGGGCAAUGUUGUUCGCUAGGAAGAAAGGCCUAAGAUCAUGGACUAUUAAUGCAAGAUUCCUUUCGCCAAUGGUUCGCAUAAAUGGUUAAGACAAUCAUGUUGUCAUUCAAGUUCAUUGGCCCUUACCCAAAUUGUGAAAAGUAAUUUCACAAUGUUGAAUAGCGUGUGAAAGCAGCAGUGGCACAAUGUUAAUUGGCCCUUACCCAUUCAAGUUUGGCAUCGAGCUAAAAAGGAGACAUCAACAAUUGAUGAUUCAGAUGAAAGAGUAUGUUGUUGAACGAGGGCAAGUUACAGAGUUGGAAGAGAAGUUUCUCACAACUAGCUUCAUUUGCUAGCGGAGCUAUUGAAGACGCUCCUAAGCUAUUAGCUGAUGUUAGGUCUGCAAUGCCAUCUUUAACUUUUUUAAGCGGAUUGGGUCUUUUUUCAAUUGCUGCAAUAGCCGAUCGGAGAAAUGAAGAAUGUGAUUGCUAAGGCCCGAGUUAGUUGACCAAGACUUCCUGACUCACAUUUUGGGAACUUCUUAAUGACAAGCCACCCUACUGACUCUAUUUCCUAUUAAAUUCCAAAUUAUAUUGGGGCAAUGUUUUCACAACUUUAUAAUUUCUUACUAGAGAAUUUGAACUACCUUGUCUUUUCUUUUUCUUUUCAUUUUUAUUUUCUUUUUCUAAAUUUGUUUCAUCUAAUAAAAUUUCAAAAGAAAAAAACUAAAAAUACAGUUAAACAUCCAAGAUACCCUAAAGGACUCGAACCAGUUACCAAAUCUUGGAGAACCAAGGAGAAGUUCAAGAAAGGAUGGAAGUCGGUGUCCAAAAAUUGAAUGAGCAAAUAAGCCGAAUCCUAGAGGUCCUGAAUGCCUUACAAAGCCUUGGAGAUUAGUGUGCACCACAACCACAACAUAGAGGAGAGACCCACAAUUUCCUCUCAUAUGGGCUCUCUCCAAUAUUACACUUCACCCUCAGGAGCGGACUUGGGGUAAGUUCACACUCAAAAGGCCGAAGGUAAUGUAGUUGAAAAAUAUCAAUUUGACGUUUUCUCUUGAGACGUUUGUGUGCAUAUUGCUUGAAAACCUUCACCCUUCACUUUUCCAAAAUAAAGGAUCUUCCCCACCAAACAAUGUCAUUGCCCUCGUAACAAAGAAAACCUUAACGCUGGGGCAAAUUGGCGUGACCAAAAGUUUUCUCGCUUGCGCUAGUAGGGUGAUCCCUGAAUUCAUUGGGACAAAGAAAAAAGAACAAAAAAGAAUAAGUCCACUAGAUUGAAAACCUAAAAUGGCAG